rnacentral:rRNA from 1 species
GCAGUCGCCGCGGUAAUACGUAGGGUGCAAGCGUUAAUCGGAAUUACUGGGCGUAAAGCGUGCGCAGGCGGUUAUAUAAGACAGAUGUGAAAUCCCCGGGCUCAACCUGGGAACUGCAUUUGUGACUGUAUAGCUAGAGUACGGCAGAGGGGGAUGGAAUUCCGCGUGUAGCAGUGAAAUGCGUAGAUAUGCGGAGGAACACCGAUGGCGAAGGCAAUCCCCUGGGCCUGUACUGACGCUCAUGCACGAAAGCGUGGGGAGCAAACAGGAUUAGAUACCCGCGUAGUCCCUGUCUCUUAUAA